CAAGUACUCCCUCCGUCCGGAAAUACUUGUCAUCAAAAUCGACAAAAAGGGAUGUAUCUAGAACUAAAAUACAUCUACAUACAUCUCCUUUUAUUCAUUGUGAUGACAAGUAUUUCCGGACGGACGGAGGGAGUAUUUA
rfam:Triticum aestivum genome assembly, contig: Triticum_aestivum_CS42_TGACv1_scaffold_407558_5BL